rnacentral:rRNA from 1 species
ACGCUCGACACCUACGGGAGCAGCAGUGAGGAAUAUUGGUCAAUGGACGCAAGUCUGAACCAGCCAUGCCGCGUGCAGGAUGACGGCUCUAUGAGUUGUAAACUGCUUUUGUACGAGGGUAAACGCAGAUACGUGUAUCUGUCUGAAAGUAUCGUACGAAUAAGGAUCGGCUAACUCCGCGCCAGCAGCCGCGGUAAUCUGAGCGGCUGGCAAGGC